AACUAAUGUCUCCUCAUUUGCGGACAAAUUUUUCGCCUUUUACUAAAGAUUUCCGUGGGGAGGCACAAUACAAUGAGUCUUAUCUCGUUUUUUUUUCAACUCCGUCCUUGCAA
rnacentral:snRNA from 1 species